rnacentral:rRNA from 1 species
GCUCCCUGAUGUUAGCGGCGGACGGGUGAGUAACACGUGGGUAACCUGCCUGUAAGACUGGGAUAACUCCGGGAAACCGGGGCUAAUACCGGAUGGUUGUUUGAACCGCAUGGUUCAAACAUAAAAGGUGGCUUCGGCUACCACUUACAGAUGGACCCGCGGCGCAUUAGCUAGUUGGUGAGGUAACGGCUCACCAAGGCAACGAUGCGUAGCCGACCUGAGAGGGUGAUCGGCCACACUGGGACUGAGACACGGCCCAGACUCCUACGGGAGGCAGCAGUAGGGAAUCUUCCGCAAUGGACGAAAGUCUGACGGAGCAACGCCGCGUGAGUGAUGAAGGUUUUCGGAUCGUAAAGCUCUGUUGUUAGGGAAGAACAAGUACCGUUCGAAUAGGGCGGUACCUUGACGGUACCUAACCAGAAAGCCACGGCUAACUACGUGCCAGCAGCCGCGGUAAUACGUAGGUGGCAAGCGUUGUCCGGAAUUAUUGGGCGUAAAGGGCUCGCAGGCGGUUUCUUAAGUCUGAUGUGAAAGCCCCCGGCUCAACCGGGGAGGGUCAUUGGAAACUGGGGAACUUGAGUGCAGAAGAGGAGAGUGGAAUUCCACGUGUAGCGGUGAAAUGCGUAGAGAUGUGGAGGAACACCAGUGGCGAAGGCGACUCUCUGGUCUGUAACUGACGCUGAGGAGCGAAAGCGUGGGGAGCGAACAGGAUUAGAUACCCUGGUAGUCCACGCCGUAAACGAUGAGUGCUAAGUGUUAUGGGGUUUCCGCCCCUUAGUGCUGCAGCUAACGCAUUAAGCACUCCGCCUGGGGAGUACGGUCGCAAGACUGAAACUCAAAGGAAUUGACGGGGGCCCGCACAAGCGGUGGAGCAUGUGGUUUAAUUCGAAGCAACGCGAAGAACCUUACCAGGUCUUGACAUCCUCUGACAAUCCUAGAGAUAGGACGUCCCCUUCGGGGGCAGAGUGACAGGUGGUGCAUGGUUGUCGUCAGCUCGUGUCGUGAGAUGUUGGGUUAAGUCCCGCAACGAGCGCAACCCUUGAUCUUAGUUGCCAGCAUUCAGUUGGGCACUCUAAGGUGACUGCCGGUGACAAACCGGAGGAAGGUGGGGAUGACGUCAAAUCAUCAUGCCCCUUAUGACCUGGGCUACACACGUGCUACAAUGGACAGAACAAAGGGCAGCGAAACCGCGAGGUUAAGCCAAUCCCACAAAUCUGUUCUCAGUUCGGAUCGC